rnacentral:lncRNA from 1 species
AAGAGUAGUAGAAAAAGCCAAGCAUGUGUUCCUAUUAAGAAGCAUCAGUUAUUUUUAUAUGCUAUAUAAGUGUUAGUCUUUUGAGAAAGAAAAAAACCUAGUUUUUCAAUAAGUGGAAGGAGUAUGCCGACCGGCAAUUAAUUGUCCUUCAUUGCACUUAAUCGUUGAAUCAUCUAUGGCCUUUGGUCAUCCAUCUUAUUUUGAUCGUAGGCAACACACUAACAAGGAAAGGUUAGUUAUAUGUUUGGUUUAUGUUACUAUAUCUAUAUGCUUCAUAGUGGGUUUGUUAUCCAAGCAAAGAUGUUAAAUUAAUUUGAAUGCUUAUGAAUAUAAUAAGUGCUUACUUGUGAGUGAUCAAAUAGAAAAAUAUGUCUUGCAAUUAAGCUUUAAAGAUUAGAUGAUAAUUUUGAAAGAGAUUUUUCAAUAGUUGUUAUUCGUACAUUAAGAAGCAGUAGACAAGAAAUUCAGCUAUUGAAUGUCUCCUUGCACUCAUCUAUAUCUAUAUAACCAUAUGAACCUAAUUGAACUAAUAUUAAGAUAGUCAUUGUUCUUUUAACAACGAUCGAUAAUGAGAGUGUGGUCUUAUUAAUUCGUAUGUCUGAGGAUUACCAUAAAUUAAUUUGGUGAUCAUGGAUGAAUGAUUUAGCAUUAUUUAUGUUAUGAUUGUAUCAAAUCACAAGGCUGUUAAUUUAUGACAGUAAGCGAUAAUACUAUUACUAAUAGCAUUACUAUUAUUAUUAUCAUUAUUGUUAUUAUUAUUAUUAUGUUUUUAAGAGUGAUCCUAGUAUCACAGUUCCUUCAAAUUUAAGAAUGGUCAUAGCACCAUAUUCCCUAUAAUUUGAAUGGUCUUAGUUACCAUAUAAGAAUGGU